rnacentral:rRNA from 1 species
UGCAGGUUGGUUUAGUUAAGUCAGAUGUAGAAACGGCCCGGGGCUACCAACCGUACGGUAAUUGCUAUUUAGAAACGUGGACAAACUAGAGUACUGUAGAGGGGGUAGAAUUUCAGGUGUAGCGGUGAAAUGCGUAGAGAUCUGAAGGAAUACCGGUGGCGAAGGCGGCCCCCUGGACAGAUACUGACACUCAGAUGCGAAAGCGUGGGGAGCAAACAGGAUUAGAUACCCUGGUAG